GCAGCAGUAGGAAUUUUUCACAAUGGGCGCAAGCCUUAUGAAGCAAUGCCGCGUGAACGAUAAGGUCUUAUAGAUUGUAAAGUUCUUUUAUAUGGGAAGAAACGCUAAAAUAGGAAAUGAUUUUAGUUUGACUGUACCAUUUGAAUAAGUAUCGGCUAACUAUGUGCCAGCAGCCGCGGUAAUACAUAGGAUGCAAGCGUUAUCCGGAUUUACUGGGCGUAAAACGAGCGCAGGCGGGUUUGUAAGUUUGGUAUUAAAUCUAGAUGCUUAACGUCUAGCUGUAUCAAAAACUGUAAACCUAGAGUGUAGUAGGGAGUUGGGGAACUCCAUGUGGAGCGGUAAAAUGCGUAGAUAUAUGGAAGAACACCGGUGGCGAAGGCGCCAACUUGGACUAUCACUGACGCUUAGGCUCGAAAGUGUGGGGAGCAAAUAGGAUUAGAUACCCUAGUAGUCCACACCGUAAACGAUCAUCAUUAAAUGUCGGCCCGAAUGGGUCGGUGUUGUAGCUAACGCAUUAAAUGAUGUGCCUGGGUAGCACAUUCGCAAGAAUGUAACCCCAACGGAAUCGSCGGGGACCCGCCCAGCCUC
rnacentral:rRNA from 1 species